rnacentral:rRNA from 1 species
GACGAACGCUGGCGGCGCGCUUAACACAUGCAAGUCGAACGGAAAGGCCUGCUUUCCCUUGUGGAUUGCGGGUACUCGAGUGGCGAACGGGUGAGUAACACGUGAGUGAUCUGCCCCCAACUUGGGUAUAAGCCUGGGAAACUGGGUCUAAUUCCCGAUAGGACUGCAGGGUGGUGCCUGUGGUGGAAAACGAUUUUCUAGUGGUUGGGGAUGAGCUCGCGGCCUAUCAGCUUGUUGGUGGGGUAAUGGCCUACCAAGGCGGCGACGGGUAGCCGGCCUGGGAGGGUGGACGGCCACAUUGGGACUGAGAUACGGCCCAGACUCCUACGGGAGGCAGCAGUGGGGAAUAUUGCACAAUGGGCGGAAGCCUGAUGCAGCGACGCCGCGUGGGGGAUGACGGCCUUCGGGUUGUAAACUCCUUUCGACCGCGAGGAAGCCACCUGGUUGGAAGGGUGGUGACGGUAGUGGUAGAAGAAGCACCGGCCAACUACGUG